rnacentral:tRNA from 1 species
GCCGAAGUGGUGGAAUUGGUAGACACGCUAGGUUCAGGGUCUAGUGGUCGCAAGGCCGUGGGAGUUCGACUCUCCCCUUCGGCA